ACUUUUUUACUCCUGCAAAUUAAAGAAAUAUACAUUAAAAAUAUAUAUAAUCAGAUUAAACCUUCGAUAUUUAGGGCAUCGCUAAAUACAUACAAAUAACUAAAAAGAAAAAAAAAAUCUUAAAAUCAGCAAACCUAAUUUUAUGCUCUUGCAAAUUUCAUAAUCUUCAUGCUCCUGCAAAUUUCAGAAAAAGAACUCCGUCUUCUUGCUCCUGCAAUUACAGAGAAAAACCCCAUUUCAUUUUCUCUCUCUAACAGAAAAACCCCCUUUCAAUUUCUUUUUCUUUUUUUCUCUCUAAUAGAAAACCCCCUUUCAAUUUCUAUUUCAUUUUCUCUCUCUAAUAGAAAACCCCCUUUCAAUUUCUCUCGCAGAUAAAACCCCCUUUCAAUUUCUCUCUCUAACAUAGAAACCCCAUCUCUCUCUAACAUAGAAAUCCCCUUUCAUUUUCUAAUCCUUUCAGUUCCAGCCCAUCCUCCCCUUUCAGCUCCAGGCAUCUCCUUGCUUUCAAUGGAGCAGCUAUUCAGCUCCAGGCCUCUCUCUGUUCUCAAUGAAGCAACGAUUACCCAUACUCUCCCUUUCAGCUCCAGCCUAUCCUCCCCUUUCAGCUCCAGCCCUCUCGCUAUUUUGAAGGAAACAGAAAUUACCCAUAGUCUUCAGGCAUAUCCC
rnacentral:lncRNA from 1 species